UAUGGAUCGUCAACAUGAAGAUUGGUUGCCGAUCAAUCUCCUUGGGAGUGCUAGCUCGCAAAGAUCUUUGAUGGCUAUUAUUUUCUUCUUUUUUGAAUCUCUUAGACACUCUAAAGAGGGAGAAAAACUAGAGAAGGAAGAGAGGCUAGAGAAAACUAUUUUUUCUUUUCUUGAAAUCACUCACGUUCUCUUCGGAGUCCAACUAUUGGAUCC
rnacentral:lncRNA from 1 species